GUUUGAUCAUGGCUCAGGAUGAACGCUGGCGGCAUGCCCAAUACAUGCAAGUCGAACGGAGUGAAGCCUUCGGGUUUCAUUCAGUGGCGAACGGGUGAGUAAUACGCAGGGAACCUGGCCAUGGCAGGGGGAUACACUCUGGAAACGGAGCAUAAGACCCCAUAGGCAGUAAGGCGGCAUCGCCUUGCUGUUAAAGAAAGCUGAAAGGCUUUGGCGAUGGAUGGACCUGCGGUGCAUUAGCUUGUUGGUGAGGCAACGGCUUACCAAGGCGAUGAUGCAUAGCCGGCCUGAGAGGGCGGACGGCCACACUGGGACUGAGACACGGCCCAGACUCCUGCGGGAGGCAGCAGUAGGGAAUUUUCGUCAAUGGGCGCAAGCCUGAACGAGCAAUGCCGCGUGAGUGAGGAAGGUCUUCGGACUGUAAAGCUCUGUUGCCGGGGAAAAAGGGGAAAUGCAGGAAAUGGCAUUUCAUGGAUGGUACCCGGCCAGAAAGCCACGGCUAACUACGUGCCAGCAGCCGCGGUAAUACGUAGGUGGCGAGCGUUAUCCGGAAUGAUUGGGCGUAAAGGGUGCGCAGGCGGUCUGUUAAGUCUGAAGGCAAAGGGAUGAGCUCAACUCAUUUAUGAUUCAGAAACUGGCAGACUUGAGGACAGGAGAGGGCGGUGGAACUCCAUGUGUAGCGGUAAAAUGCGCAGAGAUAUGGAAGAACACCAGUGGCGAAGGCGGCCGCCUGGCCUGUGACUGACGCUGAGGCACGAAAGCGUGGGGAGCAAAUAGGAUUAGAUACCCUAGUAGUCCACGCCGUAAACGAUGAGGAGCAGGUGUUGGGAGUGAAAUCUCAGUGCCGAAGCCAACGCAGUGACUCCUCCGCCUGGGGAGUAUGCACGCAAGUGUGAAACUCAAAGGAAUUGACGGGGGCCCGCACAAGCGGUGGAGUAUGUGGUUUAAUUCGAAGCAACGCGAAGAACCUUACCAGGUUUUGACAUCGGAUGCGAAGGCGCAGAGAUGCGCUGGAGGCUAUCAUCCAGACAGGUGGUGCAUGGUUGUCGUCAGCUCGUGUCGUGAGAUGUUCAGUUAAGUCUGGCAACGAGCGCAACCCCCGUGGUAUGUUACUAACGCAUUUGGGCGAGGACUCAUAUCAGACUGCCGGUGACAAACCGGAGGAAGGCGGGGAUGACGUCAAAUCAUCAUGCCCCUUAUGGCCUGGGCUACACACGUACUACAAUGGCGUCUACAGAGGGAAGCGACCCUGAGAAGGGAAGCGAAACCGGAAAAGGGCGUCCCAGUUCGGAUUGAAGUCUGCAACCCGACUUCAUGAAGAUGGAAUCGCUAGUAAUCGCGGAUCAGCAUGCCGCGGUGAAUACGUUCCCGGGCCUUGUACACACCGCCCGUCAAACCAUGGAAGCCGGCAACGCCCGAAGCCGGUGGCAUAACCUUUUAGGAGUGAGCCGUCGAAGGCGGGGCCGAUGACUGGGGUUAAGUCGUAACAAGGUAUCC
rnacentral:rRNA from 1 species